rnacentral:rRNA from 1 species
ACUCCUACGGGAGGCAGCAGUGGGGAAUAUUGCACAAUGGGCGCAAGCCUGAUGCAGCCAUGCCGCGUGUAUGAAGAAGGCCUUCGGGUUGUAAAGUACUUUCAGCAGUGAGGAAGGCGGUACGUUAAUAGCUGUGCUCGUUUGACGUUAGCUGCAGAAGAAGCACCGGCUAACUCCGUGCCAGCAGCCGCGGUAAUACGGAGGGUGCGAGCGUUAAUCGGAAUUACUGGGCGUAAAGCGCAUGCAGGUGGUUUGUUAAGUCAGAUGUGAAAGCCCGGGGCUCAACCUCGGAAUAGCA